UACGUAUGGUGCAAGCGUUAUCCGGAUUUACUGGGUGUAAAGGGAGCGCAGGCGGCGCGUUAAGCCUGGUGUGAAAGCCCGCGGCCCAACCGCGGGACUGCGUUGGGAACUGGCGCGCUGGAGUGCCGGAGGGGUAGGCGGAAUUCCUAGUGUAGCGGUGAAAUGCGUAAAUAUUAGGAGGAACACCAGUGGCGAAGGCGGCCUACUGGACGGUGACUGACGCUGAGGCUCGAAAGCGUGGGGAGCAAACAGG
rnacentral:rRNA from 1 species